UUAAAAAUCAUGAUAAACAGAGUACUUGAAAUACUUUUUUUCAGAGACUUGUUGUUAGGUGAAAAACAAGAAAAAGUCUUCAAGGAAGAUGGGUUUAGAUCGAUUGCACUGGUGAUAUUUAGCCAGUGACGGGGUUGCUCUCGUUAAUAAAACAAGCUAUUGAUUGAUAGUUAGUAAGGCUUUUUACGUAAGUAAAUGGCAAAUUAAGGUGGUAACACGAGCAUUCGUCCUUUUA
rnacentral:ncRNA from 1 species